rnacentral:sRNA from 1 species
GUUUGUAUUUUGAGUCCGUAAUUGAAUCAAAAGUGAAUCAAAACGUGAACAUCCAGACUACAUUUUGUAUGCUUGUGGAUAACUUCAACC